GAUGUGUAGGAUAGGUGGGAGGCUUUGAAGUGUGGACGCCAGUCUGCAUGGAGCCGACCUUGAAAUACCACCCUUUAAUGUUUGAUGUUCUAACGUUGGCCCCUAAUCGGGGUUGCGGACAGUGUCUGGUGGGUAGUUUGACUGGGGCGGUCUCCUCCUAAAGAGUAACGGAGGAGCACGAAGGUUGGCUAAUCCUGGUCGGACAUCAGGAGGUUAGUGCAAUGGCAUAAGCCAGCUUGACUGCGAGCGUGACGGCGCGAGCAGGUGCGAAAGCAGGUCAUAGUGAUCCGGUGGUUCUGAAUGGAAGGGCCAUCGCUCAACGGAUAAAAGGUACUCCGGGGAUAACAGGCUGAUACCGCCCAAGAGUUCAUAUCGACGGCGGUGUUUGGCACCUCGAUGUCGGCUCAUCACAUCCUGGGGCUGAAGUAGGUCCCAAGGGUAUGGCUGUUCGCCAUUUAAAGUGGUACGCGAGCUGGGUUUAGAACGUCGUGAGACAGUUCGGUCCCUAUCUGCCGUGGGCGCUGGAGAACUGAGGGGGGCUGCUCCUAGUACGAGAGGACCGGAGUGGACGCAUCACUGGUGUUCGGGUUGUCAUGCCAAUGGCACUGCCCGGUAGCUAAAUGCGGAAGAGAUAAGUGCUGAAAGCAUCUAAGCACGAAACUUGCCCCG
rnacentral:rRNA from 1 species